AGAGAACGCUGGCGGCGUGCUUAACACAUGCAAGUCGAACGAGAACGGAUUAUAGCUUGCUAUAAUUGUCAGCUAAGUGGCGCACGGGUGAGUAAUGUAUAGGUAAUAUGCCUCUUACUAAGGGAUAACAAAUGGAAACGUUUGCUAAUACCUUAUACUCCUUAUUAACAGAAGUUAAUAAGGGAAAGAUUUAUUGGUAAGAGAUUAGCCUGUAUUGUAUCAGUUAGUUGGUGGGGUAAUGGCUUACCAAGACUAUGACACAUAACUGGUUUGAGAGGAUGAUCAGUCACACUGGAACUGAGACACGGUCCAGACUCCUACGGGAGGCAGCAGUGGGGAAUAUUGCACAAUGGACGAAAGUCUGUUGCAGCAACGCCGCGUGGAGGAUGACACAUUUCGGUGCGUAAACUCCUUUUAUAUGAGAAGAUAAUGACGGUAUUAUAUGAAUAAGCACCGGCUAACUCCGUGCCAGCAGCCGCCGUAA
rnacentral:rRNA from 1 species